CCUACGGGAGGCAGCAGUGGGGAAUAUUGCACAAUGGGGGAAACCCUGAUGCAGCGACGCCGCGUGAGUGAAGCAGUAAUUCGUUAUGUAAAGCUCUAUCAGCAGGGAAGAAAAUGACGGUACCUGAGUAAGAAGCCCCGGCUAACUACGUGCCAGCAGCCGCGGUAAGACGUAGGGGGCAAGCGUUAUCCGGAUUUACUGGGUGUAAAGGGAGCGUAGACGGCAGUGCAAGUCUGGAGUGAAAGGCGGGGGCUCAACCCCCGGACUGCUCUGGAAACUGUACGGCUGGAGUGCAGGAGAGGUAAGUGGAAGUCCUAGUGUAGCGGUGAAAUGCGUAGAUAUUAGGAGGAACACCAGUGGCGAAGGCGGCUUACUGGACUGUAACUGACGUUGAGGCUCGAAAGCGUGGGGAGCAAACAGGAUUAGAUACCCUUGUAGUC
rnacentral:rRNA from 1 species